GCGGACAAUGUAACGGGGCUCAAGUUCAGUACCGAAGCCGCGGAUGCGACUCUUUGAGUCGUGUGGUAGCGGAGCGUCGAGCGUGCAGCGAAGCGGCGGGACAACCCAGCCGUGGAGCGCGUUCGAGUGCGAAUGUUGGCAUGAGUAGCGAAUGAGGGGUGAGAACCCCCUCCGCCGUAUGUCCAAGGGUUCCUGGGCGAGGCCAAUCCUCCCAGGGUGAGUCGGGAGCUAAGGCGAGGCCGAGAGGCGUAGUCGAUGCACAACUGGUUGAUAUUCCAGUACCACCAUGUUCGCGUCCGUCCCAAUACUCUGUUGCCAAGGGGCUGUGUUGACUUCGGUCAACGGGAACCGACCCACAUUGUUGCGGGAAGCUGUAGGGGGACGCAGGAAGGUAGAUGAACCCGGUGAAUGGUAGAACCGGGGUAAGCGUGUAGGAGGAGGACCAGGUAAAUCCGGGCCUCAUAAACUCUGAGACGUGAUACCGAGCCGCUUCAGGCGAAGUCAUUGAUCCUAUGCUGCCUAGAAAAGCCCAGCAGCGAGUUGACAUGGUGCCCGUACCCCAAACCAACACAGGUGGACAGGUAGAGCAUACCAAGGCGAGUGGGAUAACUAUGGUUAAGGAACUCGGCAAAUUGCCUCCGUAACUUCGGGAGAAGGAGGACCCCAGUAGCGUGAUGAGACUUGCUCUCUGAGCGUGAAGGGGUGGCACAAAAUUGAGGGAAGCGACUGUUUACCAAAAACACAGCAGCGUGCUAAGCCGUAAGGCGCUGUAUACGCUGUGACUCCUGCCCGGUGCUGGAAGGUUACGGGGAUGGGUUAGUCCUUCGGGACGAAGCUCUGAACCUAAGCCCCAGUAAACGGCGGCCGUAACUAUAACGGUCCUAAGGUAGCGAAAUUCCUUGUCGGGUAAGUUCCGACCUGCACGAAUGGAGUAACGACUUCCCUACUGUCUCAACCAUAGACCCAGCGAAAUUGAAGUACGAGUAAAGAUGCUCGUUAGCUGCAGAAGGACGGAAAGACCCCGUGGACCUUUACUAUAACUUGAUGUUGUGUUUUGUCAUAUGUUGUGUAGGAUAGGUGGGAGACUUGGAAGCAUGGACGCUAGUCUGUGUGGAGUCAUCGUUGAAAUACCACCCUGCAUAUGGUGAGGCUCUAACCUAGACCCGUUAUCCGGGUUGGGGACAGCGUCAGGCGGGUAGUUUAACUGGGGCGGUUGCCUCCUAAAGAGUAACGGAGGCGCCCAAAGGUUCCCUCAGCCUGGUUGGCAAUCAGGCGUUGAGUGCAAUGGCAAAAGGGAGCUUGACUGCGAGACCUACAAGUCGAGCAGGAGCGAAAGCUGGGCAUAGUGAUCCGGCGGUUGCGUGUGGAAGCGCCGUCGCUCAACG
rnacentral:rRNA from 1 species